AGUGAACGCUGGCGGUAGGCCUAACACAUGCCAGUCGAACGGCAGCACAGUAAGAUCUUGCUCUUACGGGUGGCGAGUGGCGGACGGGUGAGGAAUACAUCGUAAUCUACUUUUUCGUGGGGGAUAACGUAGGGAAACUUACGCUAAUACCGCAUACGACCUACGGGUGAAAGCAGGGGAUCUUCGGACCUUGCGCGAUUGAAUGAGCCGAUGUCGGCUUAGCUAGUUGGCGGGGUAAAGGCCCACCAAGGCGAAGAUCCGUAGCUGGUCUGAGAGGAUGAUCAGCCACACUGGAACUGAGACACGGUCCAGACUCCUACGGGAGGCAGCAGUGGGGAAUAUUGGACAAUGGGCGGAAGCCUGAUCCAGCCAUACCGCGUGGGUGAAGAAGGCCUUCGGGUUGUAAAGCCCUUUUGUUGGGAAAGAAAAGCAGCAGGUUAAUACCACGCUGUUCUGACGGUACCCAAAGAAUAAGCACCGGCUAACUUCGUG
rnacentral:rRNA from 1 species